UACGUAGGGGGCUAGCGUUGUCCGGAAUCAUUGGGCGUAAAGCGCACGUAGGCGGAUUGCUAAGUCAGGGGUGAAAUCCUGGAGCUCAACUCCAGAACUGCCUUUGAUACUGGCGAUCUCGAGUCCGGGAGAGGUGAGUGGAACUGCGAGUGUAGAGGUGAAAUUCGUAGAUAUUCGCAAGAACACCAGUGGCGAAGGCGGCUCACUGGCCCGGUACUGACGCUGAGGUGCGAAAGCGUGGGGAGCAAACAGGG
rnacentral:rRNA from 1 species